rnacentral:rRNA from 1 species
GUUUGAUCCUGGCUUCAGGACGAACGCUGGCGGCGUGCUUAACACAUGCAAGUCGAACGGAAAGGCCCCUUCGGGGGUACUCGAGUGGCGAACGGGGUGAGUAACACGUGGGCAAUCUGCCCUGCACUUCGGGAUAAGCCUGGGAAACUGGGUCUAAUACCGGAUAGGACCUUUAGGCGCAUGUCUUUAGGUGGAAAGCUUUUCCGGUGUGGGAUGGGCCCGCGGCCUAUCAGCUUGUUGGUGGGGUGAUGGCCUACCAAGGCGACGACGGGUAGCCGGCCUGAGAGGGUGUCCGGCCACACUGGGACUGAGAUACGGCCCAGACUCCUACGGGAGGCAGCAGUGGGGAAUAUUGCACAAUGGGCGCAAGCCUGAUGCAGCGACGCCGCGUGGGGGAUGACGGCCUUCGGGUUGUAAACCUCUUUCACCAUCGACGAAGGUCCGGGUUUUCUCGGAUUGACGGUAGGUGGAGAAGAAGCACCGGCCAACUACGUGCCAGCAGCCGCGGUAAUACGUAGGGUGCGAGCGUUU